rnacentral:rRNA from 1 species
GAUGAACGCUGGCGGCGUGCCUAAUACAUGCAAGUAGAACGCUGAAGGAGGAGCUUGCUCUUCUGGAUGAGUUGCGAACGGGUGAGUAACGCGUAGGUAACCUGCCUGGUAGCGGGGGAUAACUAUUGGAAACGAUAGCUAAUACCGCAUGACAACAGUUAUUGCAUGAUAACUGUUUAAAAGGGGCAACUGCUCCACUACCAGAUGGACCUGCGUUGUAUUAGCUAGUUGGUGAGGUAACGGCUCACCAAGGCGACGAUACAUAGCCGUCCUGAGAGGGGGAGAGGCGACACUGGGACUGAGACACGGCCCAGACGCCUACGGGAGGCAGCAGAAGGGAAUCUUCGGCAAUGGACGGAAGUCUGACCGAGAAACGCCGCGUGAGGGAAGAAGGGUUUCGGAUCGUAAAGAUCUGUUGUAAGAGAAGAAAGAGUGUGAGAGUGGAAAGUUCACUCUGUGACGGUAACUUACCAGAAAGGGACGGCUAACUACGUG